AUUGAACGCUGGCGGCAGGCUUAACACAUGCAAGUCGAGCGGAGCGAGGGUGCUUGCACCUUAGCUUAGCGGCGGACGGGUGAGUAAAGCUUAGGAAUCUGCCUAUUAGUGGGGGACAACAUUCCGAAAGGGAUGCUAAUACCGCAUACGCCCUACGGGGGAAAGCAGGGGAUCUUCGGACCUUGCGCUAAUAGAUGAGCCGAAGUCGGAUUAGCUAGUUGGUGGGGUAAAGGCCUACCAAGGCGACGAUCUGUAGCGGGUCUGAGAGGAUGAUCCGCCACACUGGGACUGAGACACGGCCCAGACUCCUACGGGAGGCAGCAGUGGGGAAUAUUGGACAAUGGGGGGAACCCUGAUCCAGCCAUGCCGCGUGUGUGAAGAAGGCCUUUUGGUUGUAAAGCACUUUAAGCGAGGAGGAGGCGCUCUAGGCUAAUACCCUAGAUGCGUGGACGUUACUCGCAGAAUAAGCACCGGCUAACUCUGUGCCAGCCGCCGCGGUAACAC
rnacentral:rRNA from 1 species